rnacentral:rRNA from 1 species
GCGACUAAGUGCAUAUGGUGGAUGCCUUGGCGAUCACAGGCGAUGAAGGACGUAGUAGCCUGCGAAAAGCUACGGGGAGCUGGCAAACAAGCUUUGAUCCGUAGAUGUCCGAAUGGGGAAACCCACUCCGUAAGGAGUAUCCCUGGCUGAAUACAUAGGCCAGUGGAAGCGAACCGGGUGAACUGAAACAUCUCAGUAGCUCGAGGAAAAGAAAUCAACCGAGAUUCCGAAAGUAGUGGCG